CAGCUCAUAUCNUACUUAGCUAGUUUCCAUAAAGCCCACCAGUCGACGAUCGGUAGCUGGUCUGAGAGGAUGAGUCAGCCACACUGGGACUGAGACACGGCCCAGACUCCUACGGGAGGCAGCAGUGGGGAAUAUUGGACAAUGGGCGCAAGCCUGAUCCAGCAAUGCCGCGUGUGUGAAGAAGGCCUGCGGGUUGUAAAGCACUUUCAGUGGGGAAGAAAGCCUCGGGGCGAAUACCCUCGGGGGUUGAGGUU
rnacentral:rRNA from 1 species